rnacentral:sRNA from 1 species
UGAUAUAUGGCAAGAUAUAGCUGCAGGA